rfam:Porphyromonas sp. COT-290_OH860 contig_53, whole genome shotgun sequence.
GGCUGAGUAGCUUAGUUGAAUAGAGCGUCAGAUUCCGGUUCUGAAGGUCGUGGGUUUGAGUCCCACCUCAGUCA